AUUAAUCCCCUGGCCCAACCCGUCAUCUACUCUACCAUCUUUGCAGGCACACUCAUCACAGCGCUAAGCUCGCACUGAUUUUUUACCUGAGUAGGCCUAGAAAUAAACAUGCUAGCUUUUAUUCCAGUUCUAACCAAAAAAAUAAACCCUCGUUCCACAGAAGCUGCCAUCAAGUAUUUCCUCACGCAAGCAACCGCAUCCAUAAUCCUUCUAAUAGCUAUCCUCUUCAACAAUAUACUCUCCGGACAAUGAACCAUAACCAAUACCACCAAUCAAUACUCAUCAUUAAUAAUCAUAAUGGCUAUAGCAAUAAAACUAGGAAUAGCCCCCUUUCACUUCUGAGUCCCAGAGGUUACCCAAGGCACCCCUCUGACAUCCGGCCUGCUCCUUCUCACAUGACAAAAACUAGCCCCCAUCUCAAUCAUAUACCAAAUUUCUCCCUCAUUAAACGUAAGCCUUCUCCUCACUCUUUCAAUCUUAUCCAUCAUGGCAGGCAGUUGAGGUGGAUUAAACCAAACCCAACUACGCAAAAUCUUAGCAUACUCCUCAAUUACCCACAUAGGAUGAAUAACAGCAGUUCUACCGUACAACCCUAACAUAACCAUUCUUAAUUUAACUAUUUAUAUUAUCCUAACUACUACCGCAUUCCUACUACUCAACUUAAACUCCAGCACCACAACCCUACUACUAUCUCGCACCUGAAACAAGCUAACAUGACUAACACCCUUAAUUCCAUCCACCCUCCUCUCCCUAGGAGGCCUGCCCCCGCUAACCGGCUUUUUGCCCAAAUGGGCCAUUAUCGAAGAAUUCACAAAAAACAAUAGCCUCAUCAUCCCCACCAUCAUAGCCAUCAUCACCCUCCUUAACCUCUACUUCUACCUGCGCCUAAUCUACUCCACCUCAAUCACACUACUCCCUAUAUCUAACAACGUAAAAAUAAAAUGACAGUUUGAACACACAAAACCCACCCCAUUCCUCCCCACACUCAUCGCCCUUACCACACUGCUCCUACCUAUCUCCCCUUUUAUGCUAAUAAUCUUAUAG
rnacentral:lncRNA from 1 species